CCCCUAGAUGUUCUGGGCCGCACGCGCGCUACACUGAACAGUUCAACAAGUCUUAACCUUGGCCGAUAGGUCUGGGUAAUCUUUGAACGCUGUUCGUGACUGGGAUAGACCUUUGCAAUUAUGGGUCUUCAACGAGGAAUUCCUAGUAAACGCAAGUCAUCAGCUUGCAUUGAUUACGUCCCUGCCCUUUGUACACACCGCCCGUCGCACCUACCGAUUGAAUGGUCCGGUGAAAUCUCGGGACGGCGGCUUGGUCGCUUGCGUCCGACUGCUGAAACUUGAUUAAACCAUAUCAUUUAGAGGAAGGUGAAGUCGUAACA
rnacentral:rRNA from 1 species